GAAAAAACAUUACUGAAAAACUGCUAAGACAAGACAGAAACACCUGUAAAUGGUAAAAAAACAAAACAAAACAAAAAAACAAAACAAAUGUGAAUAAGAACACACACACAAAAGAGAUUUCUACAAAAAGCCAGUGUCCUCAUUAUUACUAGUUCAUAUUUUCAAUCACUUGGGACAUUUUAUUGGACCCCAGGCUCAGCAUGCAGCUAAUAUCUGAAGCUGAAAUCCCACAGAGGAUUUUAAAGAAAUUAAGCAGAAAGCGUUGCUGCCCCAGAUUCCUGUCAAAAGUUUUCUGUGUUUGAGGGAGCAACAUGCGGCUGACUGCCUGUCGAGGCCGUUUCUCUCACAGAUUUAAACAAAAGAAGCCAGGAAAUUUGCAAACCUCGUCAUUGUUUUCACGUGCGUCUAGUAGAAAACCGUCUACAAAGUUACUGACGUAUUAUUACAUAAUGCCACUGUAAUUUACUUGCCCAGUGGUUCAUAAGACAUAAAUCAACAUGAAAUCCAUUGAAAGAACCAAUUAGAGCUGCGGCUAACGAUUGUUUUAGUAAAUUGAUGAAUCUGUUGAUUAUUCCAAUAAAAAAAAAAGGUACGUACAUCCUGCAGAUAACCACUUAAGCUUUUUUAAUACAAUUAUAAAAUAAUAUAUUAAAAGAUACACAUAAACAAAUAAUUCAAAUCCUUUUUAAAUAAGAAAAUAGACAUUUCAUCGCUUAAAAUGCGAUAACAUGGGAUUCUUUCAUCGUACGCUUCUAAAUUGUUUUGGAGGCACAACUUUGUCACUAAUAUUAGCUGCGCCUGCCUUUUAAGCACUGUAAAUGACCGGACACAUGGCAAACAUGAUUGUCAGGUUUCAUUUUCACUUCCCAUGUGACGCAAGUACCAUCCUUUGUCCCAGACAAGCACUUCCCGUUUUAGCACAGGAACACAAGUGAGCUGGAACCUGCAGCGCUAUGAAAGAGAAUUUACACCCGCGCAGUUUUCUUCUGGUUUUGCUUUUUGUCUCGCAAUCAAAUGUUUCAGAUCACCGGAAAACAUUUAUUAUCAGCACAGCAUAACCUGAGUACAUGUAAGAAGCAGUUUCCAAAUAGUGAUUUUAAAUAAGCGAGUGCUUUGUGGAAAAGUGAUUGUCUCCAAACCAAACAACCAAUUGAGUCACUCUUUGUGACAACAACAGACAUCAAGAGUUUGUGAAAACGAGAUGCGUUUGCUUGAUUUCAGUCAAACUGAAGGGUUUUCAUUAAUGAACGGUCUAGUGGAGAUCACACCUCAGCAUUUAUACCAGAUUGAGAUUUCGAUCUGGGUUUAAUGGCCUGUAGGCUGCUUCAUGUUGUCAGACACAAAACAUUUUCUUAAUCACAGUUUAGUUAAUAAUUUAACAAUGGGAAGAAUUUCACUUAGGACAAGGUUGUUUUAGUUCAAUCUGGAGAGACUCAAACGGAGAAAGAAGGCGAUUAAAAGAGUUUAAUGACAAAAUGAACAUGAAAAUAAAAAGUCCUUUGGCGUUCAGGCCCCGGCCGGGGACAUCGAGCUGGACUUCGAUGAGCUCGAUGAACAUUCCUGAUGCAGCAUAGGAAUGUAGACCCCCCGGGGCCUGUACUGGUGGCGGCGGUUGGAGGAAGAUGAGGCCUGAGAGCCGGGAGCAGAAGGUGGAGAUGGGGUGGAGGUGGGUUGAUCGCAGCUGGUGAGCAGAGGAGGCUAUGGGUGAAGGUCCUUUUGAACUGAAGCCCAAACGAUGAUUGGCUGGAGCGAGGCUUGGUCCGCGCCGAUAGGUCCAGGUUGCAGAGAGGCGGGCGCUGAUUGAUGAGGCAGGUGCGACUAGAGUCUUCCAGACUGAACUUUUGUCAAGACUCCAUUUUUCCCUUAAUAAAUAUUUGAAAACUUUUCACAUUAACUCAGGUUAUGACAAAAAGCCAAAAAACAGAAAAAGUCUGCAAAUGGGCAAAGUUUUACUCUGCAACUGCAUUGGGUAGCAAUUGAUAAGACUUUAUAUCUAUAUAUGCCUAAUUCACCUCAACAAUUCUCCAAAACUGAGGCUUCAAAUGUGGUUUUUAUUUUCCAUUUUCUGGUUAAAUCCAAUCAUGUUAGGAGACACAAAGUGAAGAGCUGAUGUAAUUUCUAAUAUAAUGUGAAAUGAAGUGAAAGUGCACAAAUUAGUUGCAUUGUUUCUUAAGUUCAAGACUAAUGGAUAAGAAUGCACACUAAUAGGACAGAAUACAGACGCAAGUGAGGAGAUAAGUUGUCAAACCAUAACAACAGAAACCCGGUACAAUCCAAGUAAUGUUCUUAUGUCAAACCACCAAAUAAAAUUUGUUCAUUUUAAUUUUAGAUUACAUAUAAUUUUGGUCCAAAAUUCAGAUUUUUCCACUACAUUUCCAGACUGCAGAGGAAACCUAAACACCAAGCAAAUUUUAGCAUCAAACACUUUAGUUCAGAGGUCAGUUUUUAAUUAAGUUUUAUCACAUAUUUUCAAAAUACCACUAAAGACAACAACAACAACAAUAACAAAAAC